rnacentral:lncRNA from 1 species
UAAAUGGUAAUUCUGUAAAAGAAAUUUCAUGUAUAAUUAACAGAAAUACAAUAAUCACCAAUUCCUAGUCAUUGUCCGAUCCAAAUGAGCAUUACAAGGUAGUCAUGGUCAAUUGUUGAAUAAUAUAGAAGUGUAAAACAGCGUCUGCAUUCAGAGCUUGAUUAAGACAGAAGCAGAUUUCCUGGAAAAAAAGAAGUGAUGAGAGUGGAAAACUCUCAAGUUACUCAAUUGCUUCAAAAGCUUUAAUUCUUCUCUUACAAUAUAUAUCAACAGCUAUCCUUAAAAUAAUAACAAUAAUAAUCUAACUUACGAGGCUGUCGUCCAAAGCAACAUGUAUACACUUGGUCUGCUUUGUUAAGAAGACAAGUAAGAACACGAACAUGAAUUUAUUUUUCUUGAAAAUGAUAAAAUUAGUGAUAUUUAAUCUCAAAUCCACAUAAUGAGUGCACAUUGAUGGGUGUCACAAAAGAGUUACAACUUAUUUCUGUAGUAUCCUUUUCGUCAAAUUAUGACUUACAAAGAAACAAAAACAUCAUGAGAGCCAUGCAAGAAGAACAUAUUCAUCAUCUUAAACCAGAGACAUGGGCAACCAAAAAGUUUGCUUCCUUUUAUGUGCCAUAAAUACCAAUUGAUUCAGCUUUUCAGUAACUGAGAUUUUUGGAAUUGGGCCAUGAGAAUUUUGCUAUUCCCUUCCCACCUCAUUGGAAAAUCAAGUUUUUGGACAAUAUUGAAAAGAAUUUGAAAAAAAAAAUAUUAAUACAAUCGAUGUGACAGAGGUUAACUAUUUACAUUAUCAAAAAUAUUAUUCAUAUUGUUAUGUUAAUAUUCAACCAAAUGCUUUGUUUGAUUAGCAAGCUUUUUCUCAUUUACCUAUGCUUUUAUAAUAAAAAGAACAGAAAAUUAUCUCUCGUUAUAAAGCCAACCUAUUAUCUUCCACAACAUUAUACCUUCAUUGAAUUUGUUUAAAAAAAUAAAAACAAAUUCAGAUCAAGAAUAGUUUUAACUUCAGCUUUACUCUACUAUCUUAGUAGGUAGAAAGUUAUCAAAUUUAAGGAAGACAAAAGAAAUCUUAAGAAAUAUAAAAUAGGGCUCAUCUGGCAAUUGCAUGGAUACAGGACUGAGACAUUGGUUUAUUAUUUUAUGUUUAGGAAAGAGAAAUUAUCUAGAAGAUAAAAUAUUCAGACCACCUUCUUCUUCAAGCAUACAUUUAAGGUUGAGAGGAUAAGAUUUGUCUUCUUUGUAAUACAAGUCUCUGGCAAAAAUCCAAUAUGAAGACUCAUUGGAUCUUAGCCUUCAUGACGAACUUCCUGUUAGGUCUCAGUCCCUUCACUUCCCAUGCAAACAACUGAACUAACAUAAUACUGGUAACUUGCAAAAUACUUAAAUUGCAUCAUUUAAUAUUACUAUUCAUUAACUUUUUAUUUGUAUACAAUAUUUUUUGAAUAUUAAUUUAAUAUAUUAUAAAAUAACAUACGUUUUUCGAUGGCAGACAAGAAGGAGAAAAAAUCUCUCAUUUUGCCUCAUUCUCUCUCUCAUCUAUGGCUCUCUCUCUAAUAUGAUAUAUUGAACAUAAAUUUAUAAAUUAUAAAUAUAUGAUACAAAUAUUUUAACACAAUUAUUUUUAAAAACUCAAGACAAGAUAUAAGGAAAAUGUUAACAGCAAUGCAUUUAUUAUGUCUAAAUGUAUAGACAUACAUACACAGACAGAUGCACAUAUCAGUAGUAGCAAUUGUAAAAUGCUUCAGAAACAAGGUUCUUUACAGACUUCAGGAGCAUGGUUCCAGAUCAAGUUCACUGCAAUUCAUUCCAUUUAGAUUUACGCAUAAUUUACAGAGAUGAUUUUCUAUAAAAAUUAGCUAAUAUUCAUUAGUCAAAAAAGAAAAAGCUUUACUUCUAUGGUUAUUUUUGGGUUAAAAAAAAAAAGGAGGGCUCCCUAAGGUACCAUGUUGGAAAAUAGAGAAGAGGGAGAGCUAGAGUUAGCUCUAACAAAGACAUUUCAGAAACUAAACAUGUUAAUUCAACAAAGUAGAAGUUGAAGACAGAGAGAAAACACAAAUCUCAUUGCUAAAUCAAAGGAAACAUAAACACAAGAGGGGUCUAUUUCAAACCAUUUCUGGUGGUUUUUGCGCAUGACCUUGGCAUGCUCAUAAACUGUUGAAUUGCCAAAGGAAACAGAAGAUCUCAAAGACUUGUUGAUUGAAUUCACAACUCCAACAAAAAUUUCAUUAAGGAGAAAUAGAGAUCAAAAAGAUAAUGUAAGAAAAGCAACACUACCAUACUCAAGCAUGGUGUGUGCAAGCACCAUUUGUUGACUAAGGCAAGCAACCUUUCUCUAUAAAAGAGAAGAGGUGGCUGCAGAAUAUGAUAACAGAGAGAAUGAGAGUGCAUUACGAAAAUGUGGAAGCAUAUAUAUAUAUAUAUAUAUAUAUAUAUAUAUAUAUAUAGAGAGAGAGAGAGAGAGAGAG